rnacentral:rRNA from 1 species
UACGUAGGUGGCAAGCGUUGUCCGGAUUUACUGGGCGUAAAGAGCGCGCAGGCGGUCGGAUAAGUCGAAUGUGAAAGCCCCCGGCUCAACUGGGGAGGGUCAUUCGAUACUGUUCGACUCGAAGGCAGGAGAGGGAAGUGGAAUUCCCGGUGUAGUGGUGAAAUGCGUAGAUAUUCGCAAGAACACCAGUGGCGAAGGCGGCUCACUGGCCCGGAACUGACGCUGAGGUGCGAAAGCGUGGGUAGCAAACAGG